rnacentral:rRNA from 1 species
GUGCCAGCAGCCGCGGUAAUACGGAGGGUGCAAGCGUUAUCCGGAUUCAUUGGGUUUAAAGGGUGCGUAGGCGGGGUGGUAAGUCAGUGGUGAAAUCCUGCAGCUCAACUGUAGAAUUGCCAUUGAUACUGCCAUUCUUGAGUGCGCUUGAAGUAGGCGGAAUGUGCCGUGUAGCGGUGAAAUGCUUAGAUAUGGCACAGAACACCAAUUGCGAAGGCAGCUUACUAAGGCGAUACUGACGCUGAGGCACGAAAGCGUGGGGAUCGAACAGGAUUAGAAACCCUUGUAGUCC